GUACCCAUAUUUAAACCCCUCUCUUUCCCAUUUCAACCGUGCUUUCAUUUCUCCCCCAAUUUCAGACUUUCUUCUUCUCCUUCCCCAUUUCAUCUGUGCGUCCCCUUCUUCCUCGUUUUCAUUUUUUCCUCAACUCCUUCCCCGUUUGCUUUGGAUCACCAGUUUGAAGAUCAACAUUCUGAAGAACUCCAAUUCGAGGAGGAAGAGCUUGAAGAGCAAGGACACUGGAAAUCGCAGAUCCAUAAUUUUUUAAAGGUAUAAAACCUGAGUUUAAUCUAUAGAGAUUAGAGCCUUAAUGUUGAAGUAGUAAAGUAUUGGAGCACUGAUCUGAUGGCAAGCAUGGCAGCAUGGAGUUGCUAGUAUUAUAUAUGGCACUAUGGAGCUACAAAAUAUGUGGUCUUCGACAAAGGCAAGCACAGGAAAGCAUGGAGGAUGAAUUUUUGUAAAUUAUAUGGAAUGUUAGAUGUAAAACAUUUGUAUAUUAUGGCACUAUUUUUCUUUUGAA